rnacentral:rRNA from 1 species
AUACGGAGGGUGCAAGCGUUAAUCGGAAUUACUGGGCGUAAAGCGUACGUAGGCGGUUGGUUAAGUUAGAUGAGAAAGCCCCGGGCUUAACCUGGGAACUGCAUUUAAAACUGGCGAACUAGAGUUGAGUAGAGGGGAGUGGAAUUUCAGGUGUAGCGGUGAAAUGCGUAGAGAUCUGAAGGAACACCAGUGGCGAAGGCGACUCCCUGGACUCGAACUGACGCUGAGGUACGAAAGCGUGGGUAGCAAACGGGAUUAGAAACCCUAGUAGUCC